rnacentral:lncRNA from 1 species
AGCCUUCAGAUUUGAUUGGUUAAAGCUUUGCCCGGUUUCCUUUCUCCUUCAUACUCCCAAUUAGAGCUUCACUCUCUCCUAAUUUUCCCGUUGCUCGUACCUCUAGCUUCGGGUUUUAGAUCCAGGUGAGGGGCGGGAAUACGGGAAAAAGAACGAAUCGGAAUGAAAACAGGCAAUGGUAGCCGAUUGGGGUCUUAUCUCAUGGGACUACGCUGCGCGUUCCUGGAGGGGUGCGCCUGCGCAUUGUUCUGGUCUCCAUGGCGCGGCCUCGGAGCCAAGUCGAGAGAAAUGGCUACUUCGAAGACAUAAUUAUAGCUUUGACAUAAACGAAGCUACAACUAUCAUGACUUAG